AUACGGAGGGUGCAAGCGUUAAUCGGAAUUACUGGGCGUAAAGCGCGCGUAGGCGGUUUGAUCAGUCGGACGUGAAAGCCCUGGGCUCAACCUGGGAACUGCAUUCGAUACUGUCAGACUAGAAUAUGGUAGAGGGUAGUGGAAUUCCUGGUGUAGCGGUGAAAUGCGUAGAUAUCAGGAGGAACAUCAGUGGCGAAGGCGGCUACCUGGACCAAUAUUGAUGCUGAGGUGCGAAAGCGUGGGGAGCAAACAGGAUUAGAAACCCUAGUAGUCC
rnacentral:rRNA from 1 species